rnacentral:rRNA from 1 species
UACGUAGGGGGCAAGCGUUGUCCGGAAUCAUUGGGCGUAAAGAGCUCGUAGGCGGUCUGUCGCGUCGGAUGUGAAAACCCAGGGCUCAACCCUGGGCCUGCAUUCGAUACGGGCAGACUAGAGUUCGGUAGGGGAGACUGGAAUUCCUGGUGUAGCGGUGAAAUGCGCAGAUAUCAGGAGGAACACCGGUGGCGAAGGCGGGUCUCUGGGCCGAAACUGACGCUGAGGAGCGAAAGCGUGGGGAGCAAACAGG